UUUUAAUUUCAACUUAAUUGUGACUUUGCUAUCAAAAUUUAAAAAAAUGGUGUUAACACUGCUCACUCAGAGUAAAAUGAAUAACACUGGUUGUGCUUUUGGAUAGGGGUGCGCUAGUCAGAUACUCAGGAUUGGUAUCAAUCCGAACUGGGCCAAAAUGAACAAAAAAAAAGAGAAACAUUUUUG